rnacentral:ncRNA from 2 species
AAUCAUCGCUGAUCGGUUGGUUCCCGGAAUGCGAACGCGUUUCGGGAGUAAACGGGAAUGUGACGGAUGGACCCAAGCUGGGCAUCUCAAUCACGGCCGACCCCGCGACUGUAGAGCAGCGUGAAUCUGCCGUUCCGGAGCGAUCCGGAAGAAGCCACUGGAUAACCGCGAGAGGGCGGUUCGCAUCUGGGAAGGCGAGGCAAAUUUCUGGCGCCUGAUCUGGGCACCUGACGCUGCGAGCCAGGAAACCUGCCAAGCGAUGCGGGCAUAA